GGAAUAUUGCACAAUGGGGACAACCCUGAUGCAGCAAUGCCGCGUGUGUGAAGAAGGUCUUCGGAUUGUAAAGCACUUUAAGUUGGGAGGAAGGGUAGUAACUUAAUACGUUGCUACUUUGACGUUACAGACAGAAUAAGCACCGGCUAACUUCGUGCCAGCAGCCGCGGUAAUACGAAGGGUGCAAGCGUUAAUCGGAAUUACUAGGCGUAAAGCGCGCGUAGGUGGUUCAGUAAGUUGGAAGUGAAAUCCCCGGGCUCAACCUGGGAACUGCUUUCAAAACUGCUGAGCUAGAGUACGGUAGAGGGUGGUGGAAUUUCCUGUGUAGCGGUGAAAUGCGUAGAUAUAGGAAGGAACACCAGUGGCGAAGGCGACCACCUGGACUGAUACUGACACUGAGGUGCGAAAGCGUGGGGAGCAAAC
rnacentral:rRNA from 1 species